rnacentral:lncRNA from 1 species
UGGUUAUGCAUUAUUUUCUAAUAAUUCAACAGUCUGGUGUGAAUUAUUCUGCUUAUACGCUGCUUCUCACCCCUAAAGCUAUGGUUUAGAUGAUGUAUUUGAGACAUUCGUCAGGUUUUUGUCCUCAACCUGCUCCUUGUGUUUCUCACACAUCUCCUCCAAAGCAUUCUGUUGUGUGUUUGAUGUGUUUUGUUGACUGAUGAAAUCAUUCAGCAUUGCUCAUCAGCCAAUCAAAAUCAAGCAUUCAACUGCCCCCUUAGUAUAAUCAACAAAUAAUUUGUU